rnacentral:rRNA from 1 species
UACGUAGGCAGCAAGCGUUGUUCGGAAUUACUGGGCGUAAAGAGCGUGUAGGCGGUGCUCUAAGUCUGUUGUGAAAUCUCCCGGCUUAACCGGGAGGGUGCGGCGGAAACUGGAGUGCUUGAGGGUGGGAGAGGUAAGCGGAAUUCCUGGUGUAGCGGUGAAAUGCGUAGAUAUCAGGAGGAACACCUGUGGUGUAGACAGCUUACUGGACCGUAACUGACGCUGAGACACGAAAGCGUGGGUAGCAAACAGG